rnacentral:rRNA from 1 species
GACGGAGGAUGCAAGUGUUAUCCGGAAUCACUGGGCGUAAAGCGUCUGUAGGUGGUUUAAUAAGUCGGCUGUUAAAUCUUGAAGCUUAACUUCAAAACUGCAGUCGAAACUAUUAGACUAGAGUAUAGUAGGGGUAAAGGGAAUUUCCAGUGGAGCGGUGAAAUGCGUAGAUAUUGGAAAGAACACCGAUGGCGAAGGCACUUUACUGGGCCAUUACUGACACUCAGAGACGAAAGCUAGGGUAGCAAACGGG